AUGGAGCCGACCUUGAAAUACCACCCUUUAAUGUUUGAUGUUCUAACGUGGACCCGUGAUCCGGGUUGCGGACAGUGUCUGGUGGGUAGUUUGACUGGGGCGGUCUCCUCCUAAAGAGUAACGGAGGAGCACGAAGGUUGGCUAAUCCUGGUCGGACAUCAGGAGGUUAGUGCAAUGGCAUAAGCCAGCUUGACUGCGAGCGUGACGGCGCGAGCAGGUGCGAAAGCAGGUCAUAGUGAUCCGGUGGUUCUGAAUGGAAGGGCCAUCGCUCAACGGAUAAAAGGUACUCCGGGGAUAACAGGCUGAUACCGCCCAAGAGUUCAUAUCGACGGCGGUGUUUGGCACCUCGAUGUCGGCUCAUCACAUCCUGGGGCUGAAGUAGGUCCCAAGGGUAUGGCUGUUCGCCAUUUAAAGUGGUACGCGAGCUGGGUUUAGAACGUCGUGAGACAGUUCGGUCCCUAUCUGCCGUGGGCGCUGGAGAACUGAGGGGGGCUGCUCCUAGUACGAGAGGACCGGAGUGGACGCAUCACUGGUGUUCGGGUUGUCAUGCCAAUGGCACUGCCCGGUAGCUAAAUGCGGAAGAGAUAAGUGCUGAAAGCAUCUAAGCACGAAACUUGCCCCGAGAUGAGUUCUCCCU
rnacentral:rRNA from 1 species